rnacentral:rRNA from 1 species
GACCUGGCGGCGUGCUUACCAUGCAAGUCGAACGAUGAAGCCCAGCUUGCUGGGUGGAUUAGUGGCCGAACGGGUGAGUAACACGUGAGUAACCUGCCCUUAACUCUGGGAUAAGCCUGGGAAACUGGGUCUAAUACCGGAUAGGAGCGCCUACCGCAUGGUGGGUGUUGGAAAGAUUUAUCGGUUUUGGAUGGACUCGCGGCCUAUCAGCUUGUUGGUGAGGUAAUGGCUCACCAAGGCGACGACGGGUAGCCGGCCUGAGAGGGUGACCGGCCACACUGGGACUGAGACACGGCCCAGACUCCUACGGGAGGCAGCAGUGGGGAAUAUUGCACAAUGGGCGAAAGCCUGAUGCAGCGACGCCGCGUGAGGGAUGACGGCCUUCGGGUUGUAAACCUCUUUCAGUAGGGAAGAAGCGAAAGUGACGGUACCUGCAGAAGAAGCACCGGCUAACUACGUGCCAGCAGCCGCGGUAAUACGUAGGGUGCGAGCGUUAUCCGGAAUUAUUGGGCGUAAAGAGCUCGUAGGCGGUUUGUCGCGUCUGUCGUGAAAGUCCGGGGCUUAACCCCGGAUCUGCGGUGGGUACGGGCAGACUAGAGUGCAGUAGGGGAGACUGGAAUUCCUGGUGUAGCGGUGGAAUGCGCAGAUAUCAGGAGGAACACCGAUGGCGAAGGCAGGUCUCUGGGCUGUAACUGACGCUGAGGAGCGAAAGCAUGGGGAGCGAACAGGAUUAGAUACCCUGGUAGUCCAUGCCGUAAACGUUGGGCACUAGGUGUGGGGACCAUUCCACGGUUUCCGCGCCGCAGCUAACGCAUUAAGUGCCCCGCCUGGGGAGUACGGCCGCAAGGCUAAAACUCAAAGGAAUUGACGGGGGCCCGCACAAGCGGCGGAGCAUGCGGAUUAAUUCGAUGCAACGCGAAGAACCUUACCAAGGCUUGACAUGUUCUCGAUCGCCGUAGAGAUACGGUUUCCCCUUUGGGGCGGGUUCACAGGUGGUGCAUGGUUGUCGUCAGCUCGUGUCGUGAGAUGUUGGGUUAAGUCCCGCAACGAGCGCAACCCUCGUUCCAUGUUGCCAGCACGUAAUGGUGGGGACUCAUGGGAGACUGCCGGGGUCAACUCGGAGGAAGGUGAGGACGACGUCAAAUCAUCAUGCCCCUUAUGUCUUGGGCUUCACGCAUGCUACAAUGGCCGGUACAAUGGGUUGCGAUACUGUGAGGUGGAGCUAAUCCCAAAAAGCCGGUCUCAGUUCGGAUUGGGGUCUGCAACUCGACCCCAUGAAGUCGGAGUCGCUAGUAAUCGCAGAUCAGCAACGCUGCGGUGAAUACGUUCCCGGGCCUUGUACACACCGCCCGUCAAGUCACGAAAGUUGGUAACACCCGAAGCCGGUGGCCUAACCCUUGUGGGGGGAGCCGUCGAAGGUGACCAGCGAGUC